AUUGAACGCUGGCGGCAGGCCUAACACAUGCAAGUCGAACGGUAACAGGAAGCAGCUUGCUGCUUUGCUGACGAGUGGCGGACGGGUGAGUAAUGUCUGGGAAACUGCCUGAUGGAGGGGGAUAACUACUGGAAACGGUAGCUAAUACCGCAUAACGUCGCAAGACCAAAGAGGGGGACCUUCGGGCCUCUUGCCAUCGGAUGUGCCCAGAUGGGAUUAGCUAGUAGGUGGGGUAACGGCUCACCUAGGCGACGAUCCCUAGCUGGUCUGAGAGGAUGACCAGCCACACUGGAACUGAGACACGGUCCAGACUCCUACGGGAGGCAGCAGUGGGGAAUAUUGCACGAUGGGCGCAAGCCUGAUGCAGCCAUGACGCGUGUAUGAAGAAGGCCUUCGGGUUGUAAAGUACUUUCAGCGGGGAGGAAGGGAGUAAAGUUAAUACCUUUGCUCAUUGACGUUACCCGCAGAAGAAGCACCGGCUAACUCCGUG
rnacentral:rRNA from 1 species